GACGAACGCUGGCGGCGUGCUUAACACAUGCAAGUCGAACGAAGAGCGAUGGAAGCUUGCUUCUAUCAAUCUUAGUGGCGAACGGGUGAGUAACGCGUAAUCAACCUGCCCUUCAGAGGGGGACAACAGUUGGAAACGACUGCUAAUACCGCAUACGAUCUAAUCUCGGCAUCGAGGAUAGAUGAAAGGUGGCCUCUACAUGUAAGCUAUCACUGAAGGAGGGGAUUGCGUCUGAUUAGCUAGUUGGAGGGGUAACGGCCCACCAAGGCGAUGAUCAGUAGCCGGUCUGAGAGGAUGAACGGCCACAUUGGGACUGAGACACGGCCCAGACUCCUACGGGAGGCAGCAGUGGGGAAUCUUCCGCAAUGGACGAAAGUCUGACGGAGCAACGCCGCGUGAGUGAUGACGGCCUUCGGGGUGUAAAAGCUCUGUUAAUCGGGACGAAAGGCCCUCCUG
rnacentral:rRNA from 1 species